UACAACCCUAUUUAUAAACUAUUUACAACACAUUAGAUCACAUUCGAUCUGCACGGCCGAAUCCCCUGGCGGGAUUGAUUCGCCGGCGGGCAAACUGUUUGACACAAUAGUGACAGUGACAGUUUGCGAAACGUCACGAAUCUGUCAAAUUGGACUGACACAGCAUACCUAUUGUUUUCUGUGUUUAUGCUGUGCAGUUGAGGAAAUCUUAUCGAAAAGUGGUAAAGUUUUCAAAGUGGCUAAAUUGGACGAUAUGUAUCGGUGAAUGAAAUCGUUCAUUCGGGGUUGUUGGGCUAAUCGGUGGCAAUCUUUUCGUGAAAGAUUGCUCGAUAGCAACACCCAUAAUAGUCCCGGGACUCCGUGAUCCUCAUCUUGACUCCGCAAGAUGAUAUCAGACUUUGGCCAAUUGAAGCAAAGUGGGCGAUCCCCUCCCGGCAGUUCUGCAGGUGGGGAAAAUGAGGUGAAAUGCUCAAUACCUCGCAUUUUCCACCGGUCCUGCCAACCCCGGUAUGGAUCCCCGAUGAUAAAUCAAGGUAAGUUGGAUCUAUUUUUACUUGCAUGCUAGCCU